CCUGCCUCACCAGCGCCACAGCUGAUUCCCACAUCAGACAGCUUCACCACGAAGUGGAGCAUUGCAGAAACGAUGUUGAUGUCGCAGUCGCUCUCCACGUACUCGCUCGUGCAGUGCGUCGUCUCUGCGGCGCAGUUCACCUCUGGCGAGAUCAGCUUCUACGACACCUACGCCGAGCUGACCGCUGCCGAUGCAGACGGCAACAGUACGUCCCCACUGCGCGUGGCGUACGACGUGCUGGAGCACUUUCGCAUUGUGCGGGCGCAAGGGGUGAUGCGGCUGACGCUGCCGCGCGGAAUCGUGCGACGAUGGGCAGCGCAUAACACAUUUGAGACGCAGCUGGACGAGUACGAGGGCAACAGGGCCGAGGCAGGCGCCGUCUCUGGUCAGACGACGGCCUCGACAGUUGUGCUGUUUCUGCAGCUGGGCGUCGAGGACAUGGCCGCUUUUAUGCGGUCUAUCGCGCCUCUCAUCGCGGCCAGUCGGCGCACCAGAUCCGUGUCGCGCAUCUCCGUGACGGAGCCGCUGCCGGUGUACGGGGUGCCGCUGGUGGACCCCGCGGCGAGCGUGCCGACGGAUGCGGCAACCUCGCCCCGGACGAUGUCAACCUCAUCGGCGAACUCUCAAAAGGAGGUGGCAGAGAUCGAUUCGGCGGGCGGUGAGAACAGUGCGGCGCCAGUGUGCAGCCGCCGGCACGAUCGGCGCCAGUGGCAGAGGCGAGGCGAGAGGGACACGGCUCACUGCACACCGUCUUGCACUGGCGACGGUGCCGAGGAGAGAAGAGGAUGCGCGUCUGCUAAGCACUCCGAAGCGCGACGCAUCACCGCGGCCUCCAGGGAUGCCGCACUUCGCGCACCGGAAACCGUAGCCGAGCUACUGGGUGGCGACAGCGACGGCAGUGCAGCAGGGGUGGCUGAGGCAGAGGCGCACGAUGAUGCUGUGCAAUCCCUCUCAGGUAGUCCCGCGGCGCCAGCGGGUGGCGAGGAAGAAGGAGGGGGCAUCGCGAGCCAAACCUCUCGCGUGGCCGGCGCGCUUGGCAUCACCGCCACCGCCACCACAGGGGCUACAGCGCAGGUCGAUCGACGGCCUCCAUCACCGAAGCACCGGCAAUCACAACAGGCGACCCCAUCACGGCUCGCCAACACGCUGGAGGGCGUGGCAGAAGAACUGGCAGAGCUGAUGGAGGAGGCAGAGCAACCGGACCACUGUCGCGGCGGCCGCGGCGAACCUCUCCAUCGCCGCCGACCGACCGUAGCGGCGGCCAUGACGGCGGUGCGGCGCGCGGGCCAGAAUCAGGCGUCUCGAUGUACGCAUCGACAGUCGCUGCCCAUCGUCGCCUCGUCUGCGGCCCCUUCGAUGUGCCCGUCAUUGAAGUCCACCGUAUCAGAGGCGCAUUUGUUGAGCCCCUCCGCAGCUGCGGUGAAGCCGCAGUGCGAGGUGAAUGGGGUGCACACUGCGGCUGCAGCACACGGCGGCCCUGUGGUGGAGAAUCGGCGAUCUACUCAGCAGCCGAUGGACACGGCAGUUCACGUGCAAGGACGGUUCUCGGCUCGAGUCUUCCGCAACGGUGGCAGCGGCGCGCACCUAUGUGCUUCCGAAGUCUCCUUCGUGGCUGAGGCCGAGCUGCCACGACUCGCGACACAUGACGCGUGUGAUGACCGCGCAGAAACACAGGAGGGUCACGCGAUGCCGUCACCAGCACCGGAAGAGACGCGCGACGGCGUCGAUAAAGCGGCGGCCGCCUCUGGUUCUGCUGCCUGCGAUGCCCGCGGGGUGAGGCCUGUCGGUGAUGGCUGGACCGGGCCUGAGAUUCAGUGGGCAGCUCUGCGCGCAAGCACGGCCACCCACGCCUUUUCGAAUGCGGGCAAGGAUGGAUGCAGAGACGAUGCCUGCACCGCGCCGGCGCCCACGCCCACCCGGCAGUCCUCACGCUCCUCUAGCGCUGCGUCGUCGGUCAAGCUUGGAGACAUGCUGGCGGUUCCCGGCGCCGUCCACGAGCCGGGUCGUGCUGCAGCGGGCGUCAUUGAACCGUCGCGGCGUAUUGUGCAGUUCCGCGGUGACGGUGCGGGUGCGGUGCUGCUCAAGUCGUCGCUACCGUACGCACGCAACAGCGGUGCGGCUGACGUGGUGGCGUACCUGCGAGAGUUGUUCCCAGUAGAGGACACCGUGCCAAAACCCACGCGGCAGCGCCGCAAAGCACAGGCAGCCCCUGCCGCGGGCUCUGUGAGAGGACUCUCCGCAUUUCGGCGGUGUAGACGCGCGCCGGCUCGGAGAGCUGUCACCCGCACUGCCUCGGCCACGGGCGCUGCUGCUUCUAAUCUCGUCUUUACUGGCGCACCCGACAAGGCCGCGGACGGCGCGACAGCGCCUCAGCUGCCCGUCAAGGCCGCCCCAUCACCACCGCUGUCUUUACCAACAAAGGUGAGUGACAAGAUCGGCGCUGCUGCAGCCACGCGCGCGACUGCCCAAAGGCGACGCCGCUCCCCCACUGUAGGCGCUCUGGGGACCGCGAAGAAGAGGGCCAAGGGGAGCACUGCCGCUGCCGAGGACCCCUCAGACAACGGUAUGGAUGCUGCAGUGGACGCAGAGGAAAACACGGAAGCCACAGCGGGUGGUGGCGCUUGUGGAAAUGGCGCUGCAGCGUGUCUCACCACGCCACUGCAGCCGGAGGCGUGCUCUGCUGUCUCGGUGCCGCAGCGUGUCACCGUCUCCGUCCGUGACGCAGAUGCACUGGGGCUUGUCCAAGCGACGCUGCCUCUGCGCAGCGCCGCCUCGGCUGCAAAGCCGAGCGCGGUGGUGUCCGCGUUCGCGACUGCCGCGGAAGAGGAGGAGGCUGCCUACGCAGCCGUUGAAGAGGGGGCGGCUGCCGCGGCAUUGGACGGCGAUGCGGCCAAGCUGGCUGGGGGCCUCAUCAGGGGCCCUAGCACGGAGGCUAGCAGUCUUGAAGUGCCUCGCGAUGCGGAGCACCGCCGGGGCACCCAACUACCGCGGGCUCAGCUCGUCGUGCACGAGUUGGCGCCGCCGGCUGAAUGUGCCGAUGGCACUUCGCGCCACUACACCGCAGGAGUGACAGCAGACCAUCGCGACAAGAAUGGCGGCCGCUCCAGUAUCAGUAGCAGCCAGGCCACGUGCCCACUACUCUACUGCCGCGAGUCCCGCAAGGAGCGCAGUCGGCGUGUGCUACGUUACAUGAAUCUCAUCUCGCAGAGCAUCGCCGCCGUGCACGAGAUGCACGACGCGCUGCGCGGGCUGCUCCUUCUCAUGAUGGAGGAAAAUCAGCUCUAGAGUCUGGUUGCCACAUGGAGGACAAGAGGCCGGGGCCCAGUCUCACGUUCUUAAGGCACCAGCAAACGUGUAUGCCCAAGUCUGUCUCGGCGGUCGUGAAGAGAUGGCCAGGUCGGACGGGACCUACCCGCGAAUCGAACUGUUGCAGUGUCACACUGUGUGUUGCGGCGGCGCUGACGGAUAUGAUGCCGCUCUCACCUCUUUCGACUUUCCGCAGCCACUGAUUCAGGUAUGCCCUUCCUUCCCUCCACAGGCUUUCCUCUCGUAGAUACGUUGUCCAAAGGCGCGCUCAGACAGACCCGUCGUGUUGGCCAAGGAGGGAGGAGGGGGGGGCGGACAUGCUGUCUGCUGACGUCGGCUUGUGCUGCUCGUCCUCGCGGGCUUGUGCGCAGCCACUGCCGCAUCAGCAUCGUAACCGAUUUCUUCUGCUGCUACCACUGCUACCGCGUAAGCUGCACACAUAUGAAAAACAGGCGAACAAAAAGGAAAGGGGGGAGAGAAGGCGGAGGAGUGCAUCAGCAUGCGAGAGGGCACGUACACACCCAUGAGCACAUACUCAACCGCCGCUGAUGGAUCACGUUCCUCCGUCGCCGCUGCGUGCUUUCUGUUACUCGAGAGCGCAUUUUCUUGUGCACAUGCUGAACGACGCGAGCGGCUCUCAGGCACCAACGAGCGUGCCUUGUGUGACGCUAUACAUGCGUGCGCGCACACGCCCAUAAAUAGGAGAAAAGCGGAGGGGAGGUACCGCUGGCGUUGCUUAUCAUCGUUUCUCUGCUCUCAAACCACUGACCUGCUCCUUGGCCCUUGAAUCGCUUGUCUUCUCUAUGCCAAGGGAAAG
rnacentral:misc_RNA from 1 species